AGGUCGUGCCGUAUGAAGUGGAAACAGUUCAGAACUGGCGCAAAUUGAACGGCCCAGUAUACAACCUAGGCCCAUUAUGAGCCUGACCCCUCUAUUCUUUUCUCUCUGUUUCGCCUAGGCGCGAACUACUCGCACUUUCAGGGAAGGGAAGGCGACGAACCCUAACCGCCGGCGCCGCCCCCCUCCUCAUUGACGUCGCCUAAUCCUCUCCGACGCCUGGAUCUCACGCCCCCGCAUUGCCGUAAUCAUCGCUGCUGCCACCGCAGAUUGGUUCGUGCCAUGAAGUGAAAAUGGACGUCAGAGUAAUGGGUGGUUGACCCGAGCUGCCUGAAUUUUCAUUGAGGCUAUCACCGCAACUCGUCAAGAACGGAGAGUAACUUUAAACCUAUAAAAAAAUCUGUUUGUUCUGAAGGCAAUAUAUAUAUGGAAUGAAGAGUCAGCCAUCUCUGUAUCUGGGUUUAGCAACUGGAAUGAUGCGUUUGAAACUUUCAAUGGGCAUGUUGGUGGAGUUAAUAGUAGUCACGAUAUAUUGCAAGGCAAUACUAUGAGGAUUUCAAAAGUCGUAGUAAGAUCAUGGCUGCUAGUUUAUGUUGUGCAAGAUCUCUUCUGUCACAAGGUCUUCCCUUUUAUGAACAUGAAGAAUGGCCCAGUUUUGGAAAUAAAUGGAACUUUGUGGAGAUGCUGAAUUGGUACAUGAACGAUUUCAAGUCAUUUGACCUGCCGAUUAUUGAAAAUUUGCUAUGGUGAACUGACUUCUCCAGAGACGCAGAAAUUUUUGGUGAAAUCUUGUGCAGAAGUGAUCGCACAGACCAUUGUUGAUGAGAUCGGAGAUAGUUAUUUCACUUUAGUUGUUGAUGAGCCUCAUGAUAAAGUUAUGCUAGAAAAAAUUUCUAUAAUUGUGAGGUUCGUGAACAAGCAUGGGCAGGUCAUCGAAAGAUUACUUGGUACUGAAUAGACAACUCUAGAUACAGCCCUUUCAAUGAAAGAAGCUUUGUAUGGUUUGUUAACUCGUCAUGGUUUAUCUAUUUCUAGACUAAGAGGGGUAGGUUGUAAUUUAGUCUCAAAUAUGACAGUAGAAUAUGAUGAACUGAAGUCACUAAUUCUGAAGGAAAACCCAUAUGCCCAUUAUGUACAUUGUUUCGCCAAACAGUUCCAGUCGGUUAUUAUUUCUGUCGCAAGGAGCAAUAAAGCUAUUGGUGAUUUUUUCUUCUACGUGGAUGGAAUUGUUAAAACUGUGGCUGACUCUUCUAAAACAAAAGAUGCAUUGGUACAAGAGUACUAUGCAAAGAUUGUGAAAAAAAAAUAGAGAGCAGCGUGACUUUACCAGGCAAAGGAAUACAUUAAGAAAGUGAUCUUGAUGCCUGGCCUGCACAUACACAGUGGGGUUCAUACUGUAAAACUUUGCUUCAUUUGCUUACGACAUGGGAUGGAGUGCUGAAAGCACUAGAAACUGUAUAUGAAAAGAAAAGUCGUCUUUGUCAGCUGGGAACAACAUCAGAUUUUAUGAAUUGUAAUGGAGAGUAUUGGUCACCAAAUGAUUUGAUACAAACAAUGAAGACCUUUGAAGUGCGAGUGUUUAGCUGGACAGGAGAUUUGUUAUGUCUCUUGGAAAAGGAAGGUAAAUACGUUGUCAACGCGAUGGAUUUGAUUGAACCUGUGAAAGACGUUUUGCGGGACUUGUGGGAGAACCAGUGGGGUGAAUUUUUUGAAGAAGUAGAGAGUUUUUGUGUUGCGGUGUCUAUUCCGGUGCCAAGUAUGGAUAGUAGUAUGCCAAUUAGGGGUGUUUCACGGCGUAUGAGGCAAUUUGUUAAGUGUUAUCAUCAUUAUCAUGUUGAUAUUUUUAGUGCUUUGAUAGACUCAAUUACUACUGAUAUUAACAGUCGGUUCAGUAAAUCAUCUGUUGAGAUAUUAAGAUGCAUUGCUUGCCUUGAUCCAAGUGACUCUUUUUCCAAAUUCGAUCAUGGCAUGCUUCUUCGACUUGCUGAGACUUAUUCUUAUGAUUUCUCUACACCAGACUGUGAAAUCCUCAAAGAACAACUUCACAUGUUCAUCCUUAAUAUGAGAAGUACCUCUAAAUUUUCCAGCUGUCGUGAUCUUCCAACUCUUUCUGUGAAGAUGGUUCAAACUGAAGCACAUUUGAUUUUUCCACUGGUUUAUCGGCUCAUUGAGUUGUUGUUGAUUUUACCAGUAGCAAGAGCAACAACUGAAAGAGCCUUCUCAGCACGGAACUUGUAAUUUUCUAAUGAGAUAAGCGAUGAAUGGUCUAGUGACAUGAUGUUAUGUUGAGAGAGAUACUUUUGCUGAGAUUGACGAUGAAAAUAUUUUGCACUACUUCUAAAGAAUGAGAAGCCAAAAGAUUCAUCCAUCUCAAAAUUAGUGGUUGCUUUUUUCGGUAUGCAAUUCCGAUUAAUAAUUUCAAGAUGUCCAACAUAAGGCAAAGUUAUAAGCUCUCAAUUCUCCGACUUUCAUGCAGAUAAUCAAUGGAAGUGAGUCAAUUCUCUCCAAUUUACGUGUCACCUUAUUGUUUUUAUCCAUGAUCUGAAUUGUGACAAACAGAGAAAACAAUCUCAAUUAAUAUCCCACUGUGUAAUCCAGAAAACCUCAUUAUUAUAUUGUUUUCUAUUUAAAUUUGGGAUACCCAAGAAAAAUAAAAAAGACUAGAAAUUCCACUAGCUUUGGACUACUUAUAUCUGCUUACCACUAGGGAAACCUUGCAUAUGGUUAUAUCUUCUAUUUCUUUGAGGAAUUUGUAGCUUUUGAUCAUGAUGUGUUAUGUACUUUCACAUACUUGUAACAUUUAUAUGAUGCCCAUCGAAUACUUAAUUUUAGGAGAGAAUGUUUUCUGGUUUAAAACAAUCACCAGAGAAUAAUCAGUAAACGACUGAGACUAUUUUCCCUUGUGGUUUGAUGUAAAGUAGUAUAUCAUAUCUUUGUCCCUGGAGUGACCAGGUACUCACUCGUAUUUAUUCAAGUUGGUCUAUGUUCUUGUUAGAAAAAAAUAUAGAGAGAGAGAGACUCUAUUAGACACCCAAUUCUGCACCCAGGUCAAUCGACCGAGUUAGUUCCUCCUGAUGGGCCGAACCCAUUUAGACCCCCGCGUGCCCGCAUCCACCAGGGUGAUCGGAGCUAACCCACAAUCGUCAAAUCCAAUAUGUGUGUGCGGUUGUGGGAAUCACCGAUGUGGCCGGCGAGUGACUGCUUUGCAUUGCGUCCGUUGGCGAGCGGCUUCAAUCGUUGAUUGCUGCUGGCGGCGAGCGGCUUCAGCUGGGGAUUGCGUCCGGCGGCGAGCGGCUGGACCUACAACAGUCAACAGCGGCGGCGCCCGAACAACGGUGGCGCGAUAGGUAGGAUCAACCUCCCCUCUGUAUCUACCUACGCGCUAUUCCUCUUUCCUGUGUUGUCUCUCUCUGCAGCAAGACUGGAAUGGCGCACGGCGGCGGCGGAUGAAAAACUCUCUCGUUCAACUGCACGCUCGAACCCUCUUUCUCCUCCGGGCGUGCGGCCGGUGACCAGUAGCUUCACAGUAGCGCCUUUCUUCUUUGCCCAGGUUUGUCACGGUUGUUCCUAAAUUAUUCCAUCAGAAUUUGUAGAUAGAUUUAUGUAGUUGUUAGUCUGCACGUACUCAAUUUUUUUGGAUUAAUUAGCUGAUUUAGAAUUU